rnacentral:lncRNA from 1 species
AAGGUGAUUUUAAUUAUAAGAUUUUUCUUAUUCUUAUAAAGAUAGGAAAAGAAAAAGAAAAGAAAAAAGUUGUUGGAAAUUUGGAAUUCAUAGACUGAGAAAGUCACUUGCCUCGUGCUAGAAUCUUGUACAUUUUUCUAUUUCUCACGCUACAGUAAAGUAAUCAUCUGAAAAAGUUGUUGGAAUACAAUAUAGAUUCAGAAAGUCAUUUGUAAAUUUUAAUACUGAAAAGAAAAGGGGAAUUAUUAAGCAAAGUAUGAUUGGUGGUCUUUUGCUUGUUGCAUCUAGAUAUUUUUAUGAUGUGGUUCAUUUAUGUGUUUAAAUUCUCUAUUGAACACCAGUGUUAGAAAGCUACAAGCACAAAAUUAGGCCACAAAAGCGGAUGUGGCCACUGGCCAAACACGUCCUCAACUUGGCUCACUCAAGUUACUAAAUAUCGGUCGAUAUGUAUCUGGAUUUUGACAUUCUAAUAUGAAUAUUUUAGUAAAUGUCAACUCAUACUGUCUAAUAUAGGCCGAUACAUAAUCAUAUCACCGAUACAGUUAUUGAUAUCAGCCGAUAUGUAUCUGGAUUUUGGUAUUACGGUACGGAUAUUUUAGUAAAUGUCAACCGAGACGGUCUGAUAUAGGCCAAUACAGGACUAUAUCACCGAUAUAGUUACUGAUACUGCGAUUUAGGUUUCCCACUUAACCAAUGCUAUAAUUGAAAAAAAGAAGAAAAAAAAGAAACGUAAAAGAAUACUGGCAAUGUUAUUAUGUCUAGAAGUUCACUCAAAGAGAGAGAACACAAGAAAUUCCCAUCUCCAUAGCAGAACCUAUUUCUACGGUGGCAUAUAUACACUACGUUUUAUAGCAAUGUUUUUUGAGUUGACAACUCUCUAGAGAUUCUAAAAAAUAAAAAUGCCAUUGGACUUUGUUUUUAGACCUCUCCUCGAUCUCAUAAGAAAGAAAUGCUAAAUAACGAACUAAAAAUAAAACAACUACGUGUUCCAAAUCAGUCAAAUCACUACGCAUCUGAAUUACCCAUAGUCAAUUUCUAGGUUUUUCAUUUCAGCUGCAUAACCAAUGGAUGAAUGGGUGAUCUAAGAGAUGUCAGUGGCUAUGGUUUUCAUUUCUAGGGUUUAUUGGCUUGAAUUUGCUUUUUAUUAACAAGUUUGUUAGAUUUAUUUUGAUUAUCAUGGUUCUUAUUUUAUUUUUUUCAGGUGUGUUUUAUAACUGAGUUAUGUAUAUUUUGCUCAAUGGGUAAUGCAGGUAAAAUGAGGUUAGCCCAUCUGAAAUGAAGAAAUGAACAACAUUAAGAGCAUACGGAACAUGUUGAAUUUGUAGGGUCCAUGGGUCCGUUAGCCUGGGGCUAUAUAUCCAUUUUCUCUGUUACUCAUUUUGCAGGUGGAGUUCAACAUUUUCAUAAAUAAUUAAGGCCCCGUUUGACCCAAUUUUUUUCUUGAAUUCUUUAGUUAAUUUGAUUUUUGAGGUUUGGUUAUCUCUAGUAAUUUUUUUUAAUCGUUUGAUCGAAUUUUUAUAUUUUUUUGAUUCUUUUUAAUGAGAAGAGUCUGAAAAUAUAAAAAUAUUCAUCUAAUUUGGAAAGAUGUUCACUAAAGAAAAAAAAAUAACACUUUUUACUCAACAAAUUAGUUAAAUUUUUAUUUCUUAAUGCAUUUUCAGUUCCAAAUUUGAACAAUCUUUUUUCAUUUUGAGAUUUUCUCAUCAACAAGAAAAGAAAAAGCAUAAUUUUUUUAUUAAACAGAGAAAAAAGUCACGAAAAGAUGAAAAAACUUCAAAAUCAAAGCACCUAAAAAAUCUAAAUUUUUUUUUAUGCCAAACUGGGCCUAACUAUUGGUAUUUAUCCUGUUGUACAUAUCACUUUAAAUGUGCAUUUUUACUCUAUGGAUAUAUUUGUUUAGAAAAUAUCAACCACAUCCGGAUGAACAACGGUUAAAAUAUAAAAUAUAUAUUAAAAUGUGAAAAUGAAUUAAAAUAUAUGAAAUGUAUAUAAAGUUGUAACUUUCUUAACAUUAUUUAUACUUUAAGCAAUGCUCAUUGAGUUGUUAGCGAGACCUAUUUAUUUUAAAUUGUAGCAUACAUUAUUAAGGGUUCAAAUUUGAGGACUUUUAUUUGCAAUGUCUUAUACUGCCCCCGAGUUGGUAUGAAUCUAUAGGAAAAACUGUUAAAAUAUUUUUUAAUUAAAAGUAAUAUUUUUUUCCUUUAAAAUGGAGAAAUGGGUUGGAGAUUCUUAUGAGUGGCUUGGAACUUGUUUCAUCUAAUGCAAUGACACACACAAAAUUACGUGUAUGUUUGGCAAAACUUUUAAGCAUCAACUUCUACUUUUGUUUUGAAAGUUGUUUCAAAGUGUUUAACAAAACUUCUGUUUAUGGAUCCAAAAUUUAACUUUUAAAGCUAAAAAAACUGAUUUUUGAAAGUUUCAUUUUAAAAAUUUUACUGUAAUAGUUUAAACUUAAGUUCAACUAUACACAACACAUUCUACACAAUUUAUUGACUAUAGA